rnacentral:lncRNA from 1 species
AUCAGGCACCACAGAGGGGCUACCACAGAGGGGGCACCACACAGGGAACACCAGGCACUACAAAGGGAGCACCAGGCACCGCACAGGGAGCACCAGGCACUGCAGAGGGAGCAUCAAGUACCACAGAGGGAGCACCAGGUUCAAGUCUGUCUCUCCUCUUCUCCCACCUGAGCCAGAGAGGCAUGCACCAGGAAAAAAAAAUCAGGAAGGCACCUAGGGGCCUCUGAAUGGAUGCCUGUCACUGCUCAGUACCCAGCAUUCUCUUGGUCAGGAAUGAAGCAUGGGGCCUGAACUCAGGAUCUGGAGUUUUCUUGCAAGGGUGGCAUUCCAUGUGCUCUGCAGUUGCUGAUGAUCAGUCAGCUCAUCCAUGACCCGGGAGCUGAGCUGAAGGACACAGAGGAUCAUGAGACUGCACAAGAACCAGGACAGUGUAGAGUGGCCAUGCCCACAGGUGACACUGAGAUGUGACAGGUACA